rnacentral:rRNA from 1 species
CCUACGGGAGGCUGCAGUGAGGAAUAUUGGUCAAUGGGCGCGAGCCUGAACCAGCCAAGCCGCGUGAAGGAUGACUGCCCUACGGGUUGUACACUUCUUUUUUAAAGGAAUAAAGUGAGGCACGUGUGCCUUUCUGAAUGUACUUUAUGAAUAAGGAUCGGCUAACUCCGUGCCAGCAGCCGCGGUAAUACGGAGGAUCCGAGCGUUAUCCGGAUUUAUUGGGUUUAAAGGGCCCGUAGUUGGGUUGUUAAGUCAGGUGUUAAAGUUUGCGGCUCAACCGUAAAAUUGCAGUUGAUACUGGCAGCCUUGAGUACAGUUGAGGUAGGCGGAAUUCGUGGUGUAGCGGUGAAAUGCUUAGAUAUCACGAAGAACUCCGAUUGCGAAGGCAGCCUACUAGACUGCCACUGACAUUGAUGCUCGAAAGUGUGGGUAUCAAACAGGAUUAGAUACCCUGGUAGUC